UACGUAGGGACCUAGCGUUGUCCGGAAUCAUUGGGCGUAAAGCGCGCGUAGGCGGCCCGGUAAGUCCGUUGUAAAAGUCGAAGGCUCAACCUUCGAAAGCUGAUGGAUACUGCCGGGCUAGAGUACGGAAGAGGCGAGUAGAAUUCCUGGUGUAGCGGUGGAAUGCGCAGAUAUCAGGAGGAAUACCCAUAGCGAAGGCAGCUCGCUGGGACGUUACUGACGCUGAGGCGCGAAAGCGUGGGGAGCGAACAGG
rnacentral:rRNA from 1 species